UUAUAUAAAUAUAUAUUUUUUUAUAUGGUAUAGUAUAUAGUAAGGUAAUACGAUUUCAGGGCUAUUUAGUCUGGAAGCGUGCAAAACUAAUGUAUUGACGUUUAGCUCAUUGCAAAAUAAUUUGAUCAAGUCAUGUCUAUAUAAGUGUCAGAUACACACGAUCCAUUGCGAGAUCUUGGCAGUUACUGAAGCAAUAUUAUAAAAGAAUAACAUGAAGUUCGCUGCAUUUAUUUUCCUAGUGUGCUGCGGUAAUAUUUGCCUUGGCGAGAUCCUACAUUUGGAUGAACGUUGCUAUUUUCCGAACGCGGUGAAAGGCAGCUGCAACAAGAAUCGUAUAAAAUAUAGCUACUUUUCCAAUUUGAAUGCCUGUCAUCCGUUUGUUUGGGGCGGUUGUAGGUCAGCAAGUAUCGAAAAUCGCUUCAAUUCGCCGAAAGAGUGUGAAGUGUGCCGUUCGUGGAUUAAGGUUUAAAUUUUUGAUUUCGGUUUGAUUUACAAUAAAGUGAAAACACGUCCCAAAUGCUUUAUAUAAA